rnacentral:rRNA from 1 species
ACGUAGGGUGCAAGCGUUAAUCGGAUUUACUGGGCGUAAAGCGUGCGCAGGCGGUUAGGUAAGACAGAUGUGAAAUUUCCGGGCUUAACCUGGGAACUGCCUUUGUGACUGCCUGACUUGAAUGUGGUAGAGGGGAGUGGAAUAUGUCGUGUAGCAGUGAAAUGCGUAGAUAUGCGGAGGAACACCGAUGGCGAAGGCAACUCCCUGUGCCUGCACUGACGCUGAUGCACGAAAGCGUGGGGAGCAAACAG